CAGUCGCCGCGGUAAUACGAGGGGGGCAAGCGUUGUUCGGAAUUAUUGGGCGUAAAGGGUGCGUAGGCGGUUUGAUAAGUCUGAUGUGAAAUCUAUGGGCUCAACCCAUAGUCUGCAUCGGAAACUGUCAGGCUUGAGAGUGGGAGAGGUGAGUGGAAUUUCCGGUGUAGCGGUGAAAUGCGUAGAUAUCGGAAGGAACACCUGUGGCGAAAGCGGCUCACUGGACCAUUUCUGACGCUGAUGCACGAAAGCUAGGGGAGCAAACAGGAUUAGAUACCCCCGUAGUCCCUGUCUCUUAUAC
rnacentral:rRNA from 1 species